rnacentral:rRNA from 1 species
CCUACGGGAGGCAGCAGUGGGGAAUUUUGGACAAUGGGCGCAAGCCUGAUCCAGCAAUGCCGCGUGCAGGAUGAAGGCCUUCGGGUUGUAAACUGCUUUUGUACGGAACGAAACGGCCCUUUCUAAUACAAGGGGCUAAUGACGGUACCGUAAGAAUAAGCACCGGCUAACUACGUGCCAGCAGCCGCGGUAAUACGUAGGGUGCGAGCGUUAAUCGGAAUUACUGGGCGUAAAGCGUGCGCAGGCGGUUAUAUAAGACAGAUGUGAAAUCCCCGGGCUCAACCUGGGACCUGCAUUUGUGACUGUAUAGCUAGAGUACGGUAGAGGGGGAUGGAAUUCCGCGUGUAGCAGUGAAAUGCGUAGAUAUGCGGAGGAACACCGAUGGCGAAGGCAAUCCCCUGGACCUGUACUGACGCUCAUGCACGAAAGCGUGGGGAGCAAACAGGAUUAGAUACCCUGGUAGUCCACGCCCUAAACGAUGUCAACUGGUUGUUGGGUCUUCACUGACUCAGUAACGAAGCUAACGCGUGAAGUUGACCGCCUGGGGAGUACGGCCGCAAGGUUGAAACUCAAAUGAAAUUGACCGGNGNGAGAGNGACGACGACGACGACGAGGAGGAGG